CUUAAAUGUCGAAACUUUCUUUUCCCCUCUCCUUUGCUAUCUUUCCUCGACGCUGACGCCGACAUCGGCAGGAAGCCGAUCGCACCAGCGUCGUUUGACCCACCAUCGGUUGAGCUUCUCUUCUCCUCCAUCGACGGAGCUCAUCCAGUAGAUGUUGUUCCUAUCGAAUCGUCGAUCGAGGCCCCUCUCCAACCGAUCCUCCGCCUCUGCCUCCCGAUCUUGCUGCAGCGCCUGAUCGAUUUUCCCUGUUACCCCUUCCUCUUGAUCUGAGUCGUCACCUCUGCACAUCUUGAUCUUGGCCGAGAGAAAAGAUUCAAACCUUAGUGACGAUGGGUUCGUGCCACUGUCCUCGAUCCAUCGCCAUUGGCCAGUUCUCCCUUAGCGAUGUUCCUGACCAUAGGCCGAUAGAUGUGCUGGCUGGCCGUAGGCUACACCUUCCCGAGCAUUGGUUUUGAUUUCCACCACGGCCGGAUGCGAUUUGAUGAAGCUAGAUCUUCACCAUGGGUGGUUGUGGUCUCUGUCGCCAGUUAGAUCAAGCAUCGCCUGAAUCUCAACACAGUGGACUUGUCGAUCGCUAUGAGGCGUCGCCGGAAGAGCUAGGUUGAUGCUGUUAGGAGAGAGUUCCAGUCGCUAGUCCCUUGUAGUCCACGAGGAUGGUUAUUUGUCUUUUGGUGUUCUUUUCUAGACUACGUUUGGACUUGUUCCAUUUUGGAUACUUUGGAUCUUGUAUGGUUUUGUUUUA